UAUUUUUUGCCCAUGUAUUCUGGGAAUUCCCCCAAAUUCCAGGUACUCCCCCACCAUUGAGCAACCACUAAACAAAAUGUAAAACAGCUUGUUCCCUGAUGGGUAAAGAAACUUAGCAUGAUUUGAUGCCCUGAAAGGUCACCUAGUUCAACCUACUCAUUUCCCCCACAAGGAAGCCAAGGCUCAGAACAGUGGUUUAGCUACUGGGGGCUGACUUGAGGCCCAGAAACUGGAUCAGCUGAGUCAGCACUCUUUCCAUCUACCCAGGAGUUUUUCAAAUAUCUAUGAUGUCUACAUUCUACAUCCCAUACUUAAUUUCCUUAAUAUUUUAAGUACAAAAUGCAUAUAGAUAGCUUAUAGAUAGAUGUUCCGAACUGGUGAGUUUUUACUCAACAUUUUGAGCUCCCAGUUUUAAUAUAAAAAUACUUUUCAAACAGAUGUUCCCUUUCUCAUAACUUCCUUCGAGAUAGAUCCUGUCUCUUUAGGGGCAAUCCUUAAGCUUUUCGACAUCCUCUAGAAUUAGGAUAAACUCUUACCAUACAAAUUGCUCCGAUUAUCAAAGAAGUCAAGGUAGUUUGUUCUGGAUAUAUAACUGAGAGCACAGAAUGAAGUGAGAGGAUGUAGUUUCAGGUUCAACAGAAGAAAUGGCAAAUUUUUGAUUGUUUACAGAGAGGUGAGACUGUGGAGUCAGGGUCUCAGAUUCUCAUGCCCAUCGCUGAUUAGCAGUAUAACCUUGGGCCAGUCAUAUAACCAGAACAACAAAAUGUGGGUAAUGAUGCAUAGUUCGUAGGAUUUUUAAGGCAAUGAAAAAGAAUCUAUCUCCCAUGCUUAGUAGGGUGUCUGACCCUUUGUAGAAAAGCAUACAAAUAAACACUCACUGUGGUACUUACUAAGCCAGAUGCUGUUUGAUGUGUUUUAUGAAAAUUAGCCCAACAAUCAUUAAAUGAUAGUAUAUGGUCAAUACCACUGCUGUCAUAUUUUACAGCUGGGGAAACUAAGGCACAGAGAAAUAAAGGAACUUUCCCAAGAUGACAAGCUAGUCAGGAGAGCUGCAGGGGUUUGAACCCAGCAGUCUGGCCUCUGAGCCCAUUCAUAGUUCUGUGUCGACCUCCCCUCCCACUGUCUCAUGUAGGAAAGCCUAUCUAGCUUUGCAACUUUGAUGAAACAAAGCAAUCUGCUAUGAUCUGAAUAUUCUGUCCCCCUAAAAUUCAUACAUUGAAAUCUAACCCCCAAAGUGACGGUUUUAGGAAGUAGGGACUUUGAGGGUAAUAGGUCAUGAGGGUGGGGCCUUCACAAGUGAGAUUCGUGUCCUUACAAAAGAGACCCCAGAGAGCUCCCUCACCCCUUCCGCCACGUGAGGACACAAUGAGGAGGCGCCAUCUGUGAGCCAGGAAGCCGGACCUCCCCAGACACUUGCUACCACUAGGAUCUUAGACUUUCCAAAACUGAGAGAAAUAAAAUACGAUGGUAUAUCAUUACAGCCAAUUAAACAGAUGAAGAUAAAGGUGGGCGAGGAGGAAGAAUUGUUGGAAAGACAUUUUUCAGAAGGAGAAAUGACUUCAUGGAGAGGUAAUGGGAUAGCCAUGUGAAAACAAAAAGCUAUGACUCCGCUUCAUCAUAAUAAGGUUCCAUAAAGCUGGGACCUUAGAGAAUAAAAUCCUAAAUUAGAGAGAAAAGAAACAAUGUUCUGCACACCAAUGACCUCGUGCUCGGCUUCAGCCCCCAGAAAAAUUAAAAUUUAAGUGGACAAGUGCUGUAGUAAUGGUAAAUUCCAAAUGCCAAGAGAACACUGAGGACAGAGCGCUUACAUCCUCUGGGGUGCUGGGGGUGGAGAGAGUGGAGAAGAGUGACAUUUGAAAUGGUCUUGAAGGAGGCAAAGAAAAUAGGAUUGGAAGACCGCAACCACACAGAGGAAGUGGCCAGUGCCCAGGUCCCUGGCCAUUGCGGCAAUUUCUCCAGACUACGCAGCAUCCCCCAAACUCUGUCUGCAUUUCCUGCUUCGAUAACAUUAAGCAUCCUGUUCUCGUCUCCUGAAAUAUGAUCUUUCCUGCUCUGACUUUUCCUGGCAAAAUUCUGCCUGACCCAGAGGCCAGCUCAAAUGCCACGUCUCCAUGAGGCCUUCGAGAAACUUCCAGAAAGCAUUAGUUUUACCCUUCAUUUGAGCUCACAUGUCAUCUUGAAAUGUGUAUAUAUUUACUUUUUUAAAAAACAGCUAAUACAUACCUAUAGUAAGAUUCAAGGAGUACAAGAGUGGGUUGCCUGGGUGGCUCUGUCAACUGAGUGUCCAACUCUUGAUUUCAGCUCAGGUCAUGAUCUCACUGUCAUGAGA